rnacentral:rRNA from 1 species
UACGUAGGGUGCAAGCGUUGUCCGGAAUUAUUGGGCGUAAAGGGCUCGUAGGCGGUUUGUCGCGUCGGGAGUGAAAACUCAGGGCUCAACCCUGAGCGUGCUUCCGAUACGGGCAGACUAGAGUGCGGUAGGGGAGACUGGAAUUCCUGGUGUAGCGGUGAAAUGCGCAGAUAUCAGGAGGAACACCGGUGGCGAAGGCGGGUCUCUGGGCCGUAACUGACGCUGAGGAGCGAAAGCGUGGGGGAGCGAACAGG